AGCCACCUAGGCCUCCAGGUCUCACUGGUGUGACUGUGGUGCCUUGUUUCCAGCGCUCCCAGAUCAGCUACAAGUGCCACCUUGUACUGCGCCCCAUUCCAGAGCUGCUGCGGGCACCCCCGGAGCGGGUUUGGGUGGCCAUGCCCAGAAGAACGCACCCAAGUGCGGGACUCUCAUCCUCCUCAGACUCUGAAGAGGAAGAAUUGGAGGAACUUCCCUCAGUGCCCCGCCCGCUGCAGCCUGAGUUCUCAGGCUCUCGGGUAUCCCUCACCGACAUCCCCACUGAAGAUGAGGCCCUGGGAACCCCAGAAGCGGGGACUGCCACCCCCAUGGACUGGCAAGAACAGGGAAGGCCUCCCUCUCGGGACCAGGAGGCCCCCAGCCCUGAAGCCCUCCCCUCUCCAGGCCAGGAGCCCCUAGAUGGGCCUAGCCCCAGGCGGGGAGAGCUCCGUCGGGGCAGCUCAGCUGAGAGCGCCCUGCCCCGGGCCCGGUCGCGGGAGCCGGGCCGGAGCCUGCACAAGGCAGCGUCUGUGGAGCUGCCGCAGCGCAGGAGCCCCAGCCCGGGGUCCACCCGCCUGACCCGGGGAGGCCUGGGUGAGGGCGAGUACGCACAGAGGCUGCAGGCCCUACGCCAGCGGUUGCUUCGGGGAGGCCCCGAGGAUGGCAAGGUCAGCGGCCUCAGGGGUCCCCUGCUGGAGAGCCUCGGGGGCCGUGCACGCGACCCCAGAAUGGCACGGGCUGCCUCCAGCGAGGCAGCGCCCCACCACCAGCCCCCUCCUGAGUCACGGGGCCUGCAAAAAAGCAGCAGCUUCUCGCAGGGUGAGGCGGAGCCCCGGGGGCGUCAUCGCCGCGCUGGGGCACCCCUCGAAAUCCCGGUAGCCAGACUUGGGGCCCGUAGGCUGCAGGAGUCUCCUUCCCUGUCUGCCCUUAGCGAGGCCCAGCCACCCAGCCCUGCGCGGCCCAGCGUCCCCAAACCCAGUGUCCCCAAGUCUGCGGAAGCUUCUGCUGCAACACCGGGUGAAUCUCCCCAGCCUUUGGCGCCCCAACCUGCCCCAGAGAAGCCCCCAGAGCCCAAGCCAGAACCAAUCCGAGCUGCCAAGUCCGCUCAGCCUUCUUUGGCCCUGCAAAAGCCAGCGUUGCCCCUCACACCCUAUGCCCAGAUCAUGCAGUCUCUGCAUCUCUUCAGCCCCGUUCAGUCCCCGCAGGGCCCCGCCGUGCCUCCAUCGGAGCCCAUGCCCCACGCUGCUGUGUUCGCUAGGGUGGCCUCCCCACCUCCUGGAGCCACCGAAAAGCGCGUGCCUUCAGCCAGGGCGACCCCAGCACUAGCGGAGAAAGUCCGGUUCCCAACGGUGCCCCCAAGGCCAGGCAGCAGCCUCAACAGUAGCAUAGAGAACCUGGAAUCAGAGGCUGUGUUCGAGGCUAAGUUCAAGCGCAGCCGCGAAUCGCCGCUGUCGCGGGGGCUGCGGCUACUGAGCCGCUCGCGCUCCGAGGAGCGCGGCCCCUUCCACGGGCCCGAGGAGGACGAUGGCAUCUACCGGCCCAGCCCGGCUGGAACGCCGCUCGAGCUGGUGCGACGGCCCGAGCGCUCGCGCUCUGUGCAGGACCUCAGGGUUGCGGGAGAGCCAGGCUUCGUCCGCCGCCUCUCGCUGUCGCUGUCCCAGAAGCUGCGACGGACCCCGCCCGCCCAGCGCCACCCGGCCUGGGAGGCCCGCAGCGGAGACGGGGAGAGCUCCGAGGGCGGUAGCUCAGCGCGGGGCUCCCCGGUCCUGGCGGUGCGCAGGAGACUCAGCUCCACUCUGGAGCGCCUGUCCAGCCGGUUGCAGCGCAGCGGCAGCAGCGAGGACUCUGGGGGAGCCUCGGGGCGCAGCACACCGCUGUUUGGACGGCUGCGCAGGGCUACUUCCGAAGGGGAGAGCCUGCGACGCCUUGGUGUUCCGCACGAUCAGCUGGCCUCUCAGAUUGGUGCCACAACACCUUCUGCUGAGUCCCUGGGCUCAGAGGCCAGUGGCACGUCGGGUUCCUCAGCUCCAGGAGAAAGACGAAGUCGGCACCGCUGGGGCCUUUCAAGGCUGCGCAAGGACAAGGGCUUCUCACAGUCAAACCUCUCUGCCAGUGUCCAAGAGGACGUAGGGCACCAGUAUGUGCCCAAUGAGUCAGGUAAGAGAAGCUUCCUGGGUAAGCACCGUGGUCCUCCGGUUACUGUCCUGGCUGGGUGAAAGUGGGCCACCUUGAGGAACUUGGGCAGCCAUGGAAGAGGCCUCGAGUUAGGAAAACAACAAUGAUAAUCACAGUAGCAGCUGCCAUUAAUUAGCAAAGCCACGUGUCCUAUUAAGCAUGUCACAAACGCUGUCUCAUUCAAUGCUACAGUAUUCUGUGGAACAGCGAUGGGCAUCCUACUAGUUUGCAGGUGGAGAAAUAGGCUUAGUGAAGUGAUGCUGUUUGUCCAAGACUCAGAGAUAGUAAGGAGCAGACAGAGUUGGGCUGUGUAACCCUUUGCAGCCAGGGCCCAGAAGUGGCUCCAGGUCACUCUGUUUAGGCCUUUGUUUGGCUCUCUGUCUCUGAAAGACCCUAGAAUAUCUGGCUGCCCUUCCUUGUCUCUCCUCAUAAGCCCAGAAGGCACAUAUUCAGGGAAAGCAGACUUCAGGCUUCU
ensembl:lincRNA